rnacentral:rRNA from 1 species
UACGGAGGGUGCAAGCGUUAUCCGGAUUCACUGGGUUUAAAGGGUGCGUAGGCGGGUUGGUAAGUCCGUGGUGAAAUCCCCCAGCUUAACUUGGGAACUGCCGUGGAUACUAUCAAUCUUGAAUAUCGUGGAGGUAAGCGGAAUAUGUCAUGUAGCGGUGAAAUGCUUAGAUAUGACAUAGAACACCAAUUGCGUAGGCAGCUUACUACACGAUCAUUGACGCUGAGGCACGAAAGCGUGGGGGAGCAAACAGG